UCGAGAAUCUUCCGCAAUGGACGAAAGUCUGACGGAGCGACGCCGCGUGCGGGAUGAAGGCCUUCGGGUUGUAAACCGCUGUCAUAGGGGAGGAAAUUUUGACCGAUCCUAAGAGGAAGCACAGGCUAAGUUCGUGCCAGCAGCCGCGGUAAUACGAACUGUGCAAACGUUAUUCGGAAUCACUGGGCUUAAAGGGUGCGUAGGCGGGUUGGUAGGUCAGAUGUGAAAGCCCACGGCUCAACCGUGGAAUUGCGUUUGAAACCCCCAGCCUUGAGGGAGAUAGAGGAGAGCGGAACUGAUGGUGGAGCGGUGAAAUGCGUUGAUAUCAUCAGGAACACCGGUGGCGAAAGCGGCUCUCUGGAUCUUUUCUGACGCUGAGGCACGAAAGCUAGGGGAGCGAACGGGAUUAGAUACCCCCGUAGUCC
rnacentral:rRNA from 1 species